CUAUAACCGCGAAAAUCGAAGUUCGCAAAUUGCGGGCAUUUUUCUCUAUCACUCUAAUUACGCCUUUAUUGGAUAAAUAUUCUUUAUUGCACCAAUAAUUAUACA